GAGUUUGAUCUUGGCUCAGAACGAACGCUGGCGGCGUGGAUAAGACAUGCAAGUCGAACGGGAGAAUUGCUAGCUUGCUAAUAAUUCUCUAGUGGCGCACGGGUGAGUAACACGUGAGUAACCUGCCCCCGAGAGCGGGAUAGCCCUGGGAAACUGGGAUUAAUACCGCAUAGUAUCGAAAGAUUAAAGCAGCAAUGCGCUUGGGGAUGGGCUCGCGGCCUAUUAGUUAGUUGGUGAGGUAACAGCUCACCAAGGCGAUGACGGGUAGCCGGUCUGAGAGGAUGUCCGGCCACACUGGAACUGAGACACGGUCCAGACACCUACGGGUGGCAGCAGUCGAGAAUCAUUCACAAUGGGGGAAACCCUGAUGGUGCGACGCCGCGUGGGGGAAUGAAGGUCUUCGGAUUGUAAACCCCUGUCAUGUGGGAGCAAAUUAAAAAGAUAGUACCACAAGAGGAAGAGACGGCUAACUCUGUGCCAGCCGCCGCAGUAAG
rnacentral:rRNA from 1 species